UUCAAUUAUUCAAAGAAAAAAAAGUCACAAACAAUUAUUAUUAUCUUCAAACGCUUUCCAUCACCUAAGAUCCAUCGCUAAACCUCCUUGGAAGAUCUAAGCAAAGCUUUUCGCAUUCAACAAGAUGUCAACGGCAACGAAGAUUUUUAUCAUUCUUUCUGUCCUUGGGAUCGUCAUGAACGUGACCGAAGGCUGUGGACCCAAUGGCAUGUGCACUAUCAUCAGCGGGUGUAA